rnacentral:rRNA from 1 species
CUGACGANCGGCGGACGGGUUGAGUAAUGCAUAGGAAUUUGCCCGAUAGUGGGGGAUAACNUGGGGAAACCCAGGCUAAUACCGCAUACNUCCUACGGGAGAAAGGGGGCUUCGGCUCCCGCUAUCGGAUGAGCCUAUGUCGGAUUAGCUGGUUGGUGAGGUAAAGGCUCACCAAGGCGACGAUCCGUAGCUGGUCUGAGAGGAUGAUCAGCCACAUCGGGACUGAGACACGGCCCGAACUCCUACGGGAGGCAGCAGUGGGGAAUAUUGGACAAUGGGGGGAACCCUGAUCCAGCCAUGCCGCGUGUGUGAAGAAGGCCCUCGGGUUGUAAAGCACUUUCAGUGAGGAAGAACGCCUGGUGGUUAAUACCCAUCAGGAAAGACAUCACUCACAGAAGNAGCACCGGC